rnacentral:rRNA from 1 species
UAAAGACAAAAGAAGGUAUUCAAUGGAUGCCUUGGUAUUCGGUUAUGGACGUAAUACGUUGCGAUAAGUCAUGGGGAGAAACGUAGAAAAACUGUGAUCCAUGAAUUGCCAAAGAGAAAACUCACUCGUAAUGAGUAGAGUCAUUUAUAUAUGAUUCUAUAUACUUGGUGAACUGAAACAUCUAAGUAGCCAAAGGAAAAGAAAUCAAAAGAGAUUCCGUUAGUAGUGGCGAGCGAAUACGGAUUAGGCCUUUCUAUCUAAAAAGUAGAAACUAUUUAAUGAUAAUAAUAUUAGAAAAGAUUGGAAAAUCUUGCCAUAGAAGGUGAUAGCCCUGUAUAAUAAAGAAUAAAUUGAAUAGAGGAGUAAGACGGAACACGUGAAAUUUUGUCUGAAUAUAGCAGGACCACCUGCUAAGCCUAAAUAUAACCGAAUAACCGAUAGUGAACAAGUACCGUGAGGGAAAGGUGAAAAGAACCCUGAGAAGGGAGUGAAAAGAACCUGAAAUUGAAUACUUACAAGCAGUCGAAGUGAACUUUACUUUAUGUUAAGUUUAUGACGGCGUACCUUUUGCAUAAUGGGUCAGCGAGUUCAUAUACGCAGCAAGCUUAAUCCGAUAGGAAUAGGCGUAGUGAAAACGAGUUUGAAAAAUAGCGUUAAGUUGCGUGUGUGAGACCCGAAACUGAGUGAUCUAUCCAUGAGCAGGUUGAAAGUGCGGUGAUACGCACUGGAGGACCGAACCCACGUAUGUGGAAAAAUACGGGGAUGACUUGUGGAUAGGGGUGAAAGGCUAAUCAAACUCAGAGAUAGCUGGUUUUCUGCGAAAUCUAUUUAGGUAGAGCGUUGUGUAAACAUCAUUUGGGGUAGAGCACUCAAUGAGUACUUGGGGGGUGUCAAACUACUUCAGGCUCAAGGAAACUCCGAAUACGAAUGAUGAAUAACAGCAGACAGACUAUGGGCGAUAAGGUCCGUGGUCGAGAGGGAAACAGCCCAGAUCGUAAGCUAAGGUCCCAAAGUGAUUACUAAGUGGUAAAGGAUGUUAAAAGGCCAAGACAACCAGGAGGUGGGCUUGGAAGCAGCCAUCCUUUAAAGAAAGCGUAACAGCUCACUGGUCUAUAUAAGCCUUUUUGCGCCGAAAAUGUAACGGGGCUUAAGUAAUCCACCGAAGCUGCGGAAGAUAUUAAAAUAUCUUGGUAGCAGAACGUUCUGUAAGUCGUUGAAGAUAAAAUGUCAGUUUUAUUGGAGAUAUCAGAAGUGAGAAUGCUGACAUGAGUAGCGACAAACAAUGUGGAAAUCAUUGUCACCGUAAGUUCAAGGGUUUCUGCGCAAGGUUCGUCCACGCAGAGUGAAUCGGCCCCUAAUAAAAAAACGAAAGUUGUAUUAGAUGGGAAUUUGUCAUUGAUGACGGAUUGUGUUUUGUAGGCAUAUAUUUAUUGGAUUAUAUGUGCUUAUAGCAUGGUUCCAGGAAAGAACAUUGACUAAUUAAAAACCGUACCCGAAACCGACACAGGUGAACGAGUAGAGUAUACUAAGGUGAGUGAGAGAACAAUCUUGAAGGAACUCGGCAAAAUAACUCCGUAAUUUAGGAAGAAGGAGUACUUAUAUAGUUAUUAAUUGGUUAUAUAAGUGGCACUUAAUAGGGGGGAGCGACUGUUUAAUAAAAACACAAGACUCUGCUAAACCGUAAGGUGAUGUAUAGGGUCUGACACCUGCCCGGUGCUGGAAGGUUAACGUGAUUUGUGUAUAGCAAAGAUCUUAAGCCCCAGUAAACGGCAGCCGUAACCAUAACGGUUCUAAGGUAGCGAAAUUCCUUUUCGGGUAAGUUCCGAAGUGCAUGAAUGGUGUAACGACUUCCCUACUGUCUCCAAGAUUGACUCAGCGAAAUUGAACUCUCCGUGAAGAUGCGGAGUUCCAACGGUUAGACGGAAAGACCCCGUGCACCUUUACUACAUCUUUACAAUGCUAAGAAAGAUAUAAUGUGUAGAAUAGGUGGGAGCUUAUGAUACCUCGACGCUAGUCGAUUGUGGAGGCAUCUGUGAAAUACCACUCUUUAUCUCUUUUAUAGCUAACUAAUAUUUUUAUAUUAAAAUAUAGGACAUUGUAUGGUUGGUAGUUUGACUGGGGCGGUCGCCUCCUAAAGAGUAACGGAGGCGCGCAAAGGUGGGCUCAGGUUGGUUGGAAACCAACUGUAGAGUGUAAUGGCAUAAGCCCGCUUGACUGUGACACCUACAAGUGAAACAGAGACGUAAGUCGGCCAUAGUGAUCCGGUGGUGCUGUGUGGAAAGGCCAUCGCUCAACGGAUAAAAGGUACGCCGGGGAUAACAGGCUAAUGACUCCCAAGAGCUCUUAUCGACGGAGUCGUUUGGCACCUCGAUGUCGGCUCAUCACAUCCUGGAGCUGCAGAAGGUUCCAAGGGUUUGGCUGUUCGCCAAUUAAAGUGGUACGUGAGCUGGGUUUAGAACGUCGUGAGACAGUUCGGUCCCUAUCUGCCGUUGGUGUUGGAGAAUUGAGAGGUUCCGACCCUAGUACGAGAGGAUCGGGUAGGAUAUACCUAUGGUGUAUCGAUUGUUAAGCCAAUAGCAUCGUCGAGUAGCUAAGUAUAGACAGAAUAACCGCUGAAAGCAUAUAAGCGGGAAUUCUACCUCAAAACAAGUUCUCCUUUGAGAGCCGUGAAAGACUAUCACGUUGAUAGGUCAAAUGUGUAAACAUGGUAACAUGCAGCUAAUUGAUACUAAUAUCUCGAAUGUCUUUAAU